rnacentral:rRNA from 1 species
GACGAACGCUGGCGGCGUGCUUAACACAUGCAAGUCGAACGAUGAAGCGGUGCUUGCACCGUGGAUUAGUGGCGAACGGGUGAGUAAUACGUGAGUGACCUACCUUUGACUCUGGGAUAAGCCUGGGAAACUGGGUCUAAUACCGGAUACGACCAAUCUCUGCAUGGGGUGUUGGUGGAAAGCGUUAUGGAGUGGUUUUAGAUGGGCUCACGGCCUAUCAGCUUGUUGGUGAGGUAAUGGCUUACCAAGGCGACGACGGGUAGCCGGCCUGAGAGGGUGACCGGCCACACUGGGACUGAGACACGGCCCAGACUCCUACGGGAGGCAGCAGUGGGGAAUAUUGCACAAUGGGCGCAAGCCUGAUGCAGCGACGCCGCGUGAGGGAUGACGGCCUUCGGGUUGUAAACCUCUGUUAGCAUCGAAGAAGCGAAAGUGACGGUAGGUGCAGAGAAAGCGCCGGCUAACUACGUGCCAGCAGCCGCGGUAAUACGUAGGGCGCGAGCGUUGUCCGGAAUUAUUGGGCGUAAAGAGCUUGUAGGCGGUUGGUCACGUCUGCUGUGAAGGCCGGGGCUUAACUCCGGUUUUGCAGUGGGUACGGGCUAACUAGAGUGCAGUAGGGGAGACUGGAAUUCCUUGUGUAGCGGUGGAAUGCACAGAUAUCAGGAGGAACACCGAUGGCGAAGGCAGGUCUCUGGGCUGUAACUGACGCUGAGAAGCGAAAGCAUGGGGAGCGAACAGGAUUAGAUACCCUGGUAGUCCAUGCCGUAAACGUUGGGCACUAGGUGUGGGGGACAUUCCACGUUUUCCGCGCCGUAGCUAACGCAUUAAGUGCCCCGCCUGGGGAGUACGGCCGCAAGGCUAAAACUCAAAGGAAUUGACGGGGGCCCGCACAAGCGGCGGAGCAUGCGGAUUAAUUCGAUGCAACGCGAAGAACCUUACCAAGGCUUGACAUGCAUUAGAUCGCGUCAGAGAUGGCGUUUCCCUUCGGGGCUGGUGUACAGGUGGUGCAUGGUUGUCGUCAGCUCGUGUCGUGAGAUGUUGGGUUAAGUCCCGCAACGAGCGCAACCCUCGUUCUAUGUUGCCAGCGGUUCGGCCGGGGACUCAUAGGAGACUGCCGGGGUCAACUCGGAGGAAGGUGGGGAUGACGUCAAAUCAUCAUGCCCCUUAUGUCUUGGGCUUCACGCAUGCUACAAUGGCCGGUACAGAGGGUUGCGAUACUGUGAGGUGGAGCUAAUCCCUUAAAGCCGGUCUCAGUUCGGAUUGGGGUCUGCAACUCGACCCCAUGAAGUCGGAGUCGCUAGUAAUCGCAGAUCAGCAACGCUGCGGUGAAUACGUUCCCGGGCCU